ensembl:lncRNA
GUAUCCUUCUCUAAAAUAGAACUGAAAGCUCUGCAGUAUUGGAUCGUAUUCAGAAUAAAAACUGCAGAGAAAAUAAUCCCGAGGAUCUGGUCCCAGUCCUAAAACUGCCACCCUAUGAAUUGGUCCUUCUAUUCAGAACAGAGGGGUGUAAAAUGCAGCGUGGAAAUCAAUAGGACAGAGAAAUCUUCAGACAAAUCAGGUCUGAAGAUCACCUGCAUGCUGUUGUUUUCCUGCACCGAUGGAUGUUUCAAGCUGCCCCUUUUCCAGCCAGGCAGAAGGAGUGCCUGUGACAAGAGGGGUAUAUAUGUGGCUUGUGGGGUCCUGUGCAAGGAGGGCAGAGAGGUAAACUUCCAGUCUAAAUGGGGCAUAUGGAGCCAGUGGGACGCUGUCAGCCCAAACCACUCUCAACUGCUUUCCUAUCAGUUCCUUCUUUCCUUCUCCUUGAGCUCAACAUGCCAGAUGCUGUGGACAUGUCCCCUCUUAGCAGCCCUGGCUGUGUACCCUUCUCCAUCACCUAAAUGUCAUCCUCCACCUCCAAGCCAGAGCCUGGGAAUGGCCUGGCACAUGUGGCCCUCUCAGCCCAGCUCUCUCAUGAAGAUAAACGAUCCCAUUUGAUGUGAUGACAGGGAACAGCAGCUGGGGCAGCCUCCAAGUUACUAUAAGGGCAAAUCAAAGCACUGAGUUUGGUAUGGAGAAUAAGACAUCUUCCUUGCCUGCAGAUGCUGAUGGAGAUGGUUUGCCCAGCUAAUUAGCCCUGGGUGAUAAUGACACCUGGAGCAGAAGAUCCCAGCACGCUGAGGUGAUGUCUCUGCUGGUUUGCAGGAGCGUGAGCAGGAUCCAGGCACAGGGAAUUGCUUUCAAAAGGGCCUUACCAAAAAGAUGUCUGUGCUUUUGAUUUGCACUUGGCUUGGUAUGUAGGAGCACAGAGGAGAGCCUGCUGUCCUUCUGAACCAGUGAGAGCAGAGGUGGCCUUUGGAGGACACCCAGGGCUGGGAUUUGGAGAUCUCCGACCUAAUGACUGUGGUAUGAUGCCAAGGCAGAGCUGGGCAAAGCUCAGAGCUGAAAAGCAAGAAAGAAUCUGCCCAAAGAGCAACUGAGAUGCAGGGAUGCUUCUGCUCCUGGCAAGCGAAAUCCCCACACAGAGAAGAUUCUUUUCAUUUGGCCAGAGCCUUCCAUUCUGAUUAUAAUCAAAGCAGCUCAUUCUGCCUCUCCUUCUCCCUAGC